UUUAUAAAGCACUGUCUGUUCCCCCAGGCCUUAUAGAGCACAGCCUGUUCCCCCGGGUUUUAUAAAGCACUGUCUGUUCCCCCAGGUCUUUUAAAGCACAGCCUGUUCCCAAAGGCCUUAUAAAGCACAGCCUGUUCUCCCCAGGAUUUAUUAUUGUUUAUGAUGUCACCAGAGGGGGGGAUAGGGGUGGGCAUUGCUAGUGGCCUGUGACUGGCUAAAUUUCAUUCUCUAGUCAGUCACAAGCCACCAAUGGUACCCCUCUAAUGACAUCACAAACUGCACCUGCCCCUGCCUUACCAUCAAUAUUCGCUCUGACACCAGCCUUUCCAUUAUGCCAUCAGAGACAAUUCUCAUCAUUAGGAUUAAUUUCAGUACUAGGCUUGACAGUAAGUGAGAAAAAGGGGCGUACGUUAUUGUGCACAACCUUUCGACAUUUUAUGAUAACUGCAUUUGCACAGGUACUUGGCUAGAUACAUUUCCUAUCUUGAAACCAAGAAGAAUUUAUCUGGCCUAUCUUGGCUUUAAAUGUAUAUGUCCCUUUAAAGAUGCAUAAAUAAUGUCAUGGAAGUGGUGGAAUCUGUCCUGCCUCAAUCCUUCUGAGUCUUGAAAUCUUAGGUAAGUAACGGCAGGUAAUUGGCUCCUACUAGACAGAAUUGUUUUUCAGCUAACCAUGAAUAGGAAAGGAUUAGGUUGCCGAAAAAAUCCUGGAAGACCCCAAACAAGAUGGAGCACAGAGCAAAGGACCAGCGCAAAAAAUGGAGGCCUCUAUCAAAGACCAAAGACGGUCCUAUUACUAUGUGGGUUCUUCCUACAUUAUCUGAAAUUAAUGACUUUCCAUUUGUGUAUUGUAAGACUCUGUAAUAUAUUCCUUUAAUAAAGAUUUCUCUGCUA